GCCAGGACAGGGAGCAAGCAGCCAUACGGCAGAACAGGAGGGUGCCA
rnacentral:SRP_RNA from 14 species